rnacentral:lncRNA from 1 species
AAUACGUGUGCGUAAAUGAAAAAUACAUGUUCCUAGAACUACAAUCUUUUGGAUGGUUUAUUUUUGAAUAUUUUAAUGUGUUUCUAAUCUUUUUUGUGACAAAAAUAAUAUUCAGAAUUAAUACAUUAGAAAGUAGAGUGUUUCUACAUUUCUUAAAUUUUAUAAAUAAUAUCAUGGCUUUUGGUAAGAUAGAGAUAUUUUAUUCCACAUUAAUAUUCACAUAGAAUAUGUUAGUUUAGUCUGAAAAACGAAUGGUCAGUAAUUUAGAACCUGUGGUCCAAUUACUCUUGCGGAUGGACUUCAAA